AUCUAUGUAAUUGACAUAGUGGUUUGAACUUUAGACUAGGACUCUGGAGACCAGGGUUCAAUUCCCUGCUCAGCCA